rnacentral:rRNA from 1 species
GACGAACGCUGGCGGCGUGCUUAACACAUGCAAGUCGAACGGAGUGGCUAACGGGUUAGUAACACGUGGGUUAACUUCCCUGCACUACGGGAUAAGCCUGGGUAACUGGGUUUAAUACCGGAUAGUGUGGUAUGGGCUCGCGGCGUAUCAGUUUGUUCGUGGGGUAAUGGCCUACCAAUGCGGCGACGGGUAGCCGGCCUGAGAUGGUGGACGGCCACAUUGGGGGUGAGACACGGCCCAGACUCCUUCGGGAGGGAGCAGUGGGGAAGAUUGCACAAUGGGCGGAAGCCUGAGGCAGCGACGCUGCGUGGGGGAUGAAGGCCUUCGGGUUGUAAACUCCUUUUGUUAGGGAAGCGGUACCUAACGAAUAAGCACCGGCUAACUCCGUGCCAGCGGCCGCGGUAAUUC